GGCGUUUGCCGUUGUGGCGUGUACGUUGUUCGGGGUUCUAUUCCCAGCGUGUUUUGAACAAAUGCAUCUUCAGGUCAAUUUCGUAUUGUGAAUCUGAACGGACAUGGAUUGUCUGUUCAAAGAAAAAGGUGGACACUAGAGUUUGCAGGAAGUUGAAGAAGAUGCCAUGCCGGUCGGACACUUGUUAUCUUACCAGCAGUUGCGUAGAAGGAGACGGACAUAUCGUGCCACAUGGAAGUUCGUUUUGCAUACAUUGUCCAUAUCCUUUUUCUUACGGGGAUGGAGAUAAUUGCACAGGUAUUAGAAGACCCCUUUUACAAAGAUUUUUUACAAAGUCGCGUAUUUUUUUGGAAAAGCGCUCAAAACUUAGCGACCAGGCCUUCGCGAAAAAAUGCUGAACCGCCAUCUUGGUUUUAAAAGUUUCUCAAAAUUUGCGAAGAAAAGUAACAGAAUUUUACUGGAUUUUUUGCUGUAUCACGAGGCAAAACAUUGUCAAAUAAAAAGAAAGAUAACACG